UCACCAAUAUAGAUUAUAGACUUAUAAUCGGCUUUUAAUUGCAUAUGUCCUUGAAAUUAUAGAAAUCCCUGUCUUUGUCGCAACUGCCCCCUUGCUCGCAAGUAUGUAUAGACACAAUUUUUUGUAUGUAUGCACAACGCAGAGAAUCUAGGGCUUGUGAAUUUUGAUUUACUUGCAACUGGAUCGGCUGUAAGUAUAUGUGUGUUUUUGUUUUGUGUGUGUUUGUAAUCUGAAGCACAGCUUUGUGAUUUUUCCAGCUAAUUCAAUCUGAUCAGUUUUGCUGCUGAUCAUCAGGUGAAUCUUGCUCCGUGUUUACUUAUAGUUCUGUAUGUGUUGCAGUUUAGUAGAAAAGAGAAGGUGUGUCUAUGUGUGUUGAUGGAUGUAUGUGUAUCUAUGUUUGUUGUAAUUGGAACUUGUGUUUGUGUUUAGGGAAUCACAUAUGAGAGAGAGAGAAAGAGAGAGAGAGAGAGAGGUAGUGAGGGAGGGAGGGAGGGAGAGAGAGGAGGGAUAUACUGUGUGUGUUUAAAGGGAAUUAUCAAACAUAAAGGGGAGGGAGAGG
rnacentral:lncRNA from 1 species